GACGAACGCUGGCGGCGUGCUUAACACAUGCAAGUCGGACGGUCGGGCUAUGAAGGUUCGCUGGAUUGGCUCGAUAGUGGCGGACGGGUGAGUAAUGCAUCGGAACGUACCUUUCAGUGGGGGAUAACGUAGCGAAAGUUACGCUAAUACCGCAUAUUCUGUGAGCAGGAAAGAAGGGGAUCGCAAGACCUUGCGCUGAUUGAGCGGCCGAUGUCAGAUUAGGUAGUUGGUGAGGUAAAGGCACACCAAGGCGACGAUCUGUAGCGGGUCUGAGAGGAUGAUCCGCCACACUGGAACUGAGACACGGUCCCGACUCCUACGGGAGGCAGCAGUGGGGAAUUUUGGACAAUGGGGGCAACCCUGAUCCAGCCAUGCCGCGUGAGUGAAGAAGGCCUUCGGGUUGUAAAGCUCUUUCGGUCAGGAAGAAAUCGCAUGGGUUAAUACCCUGUGCGGAUGACGGUACCGGCAUAAGAAGCACCGGCUAACUACGUGCCAGCCGCCGCCGUAAAAC
rnacentral:rRNA from 1 species